CCCUUAGAUGUCCUGGGCCGCACGCGCGCUACACUGACAUGUUCAACAAGUUUCUCCUAGUUCGACAGGACUGGGAAAUCUUUGAACGCAUGUCGUGAUAGGGAUAGAUCAUUGCAAUUAUUGAUCUUGAACGAGGAAUUCCUAGUAAACGCGAGUCAUCAGCUCGCAUUGAUUACGUCCCUGCCCUUUGUACACACCGCCCGUCGCACCUACCGAUUGAAUGUUUCGGUGAAGAUUCCGGAUAGGACUGAUUUGAUUUAUUUCAUUUCUGACCUAAAAGCUAUCUAAACCUCAACAUUUAGAGGAAGGCGAAGUCGUAACA
rnacentral:rRNA from 1 species